UCGUCAUCCAGAAAAUGUCAGUAAUUUUGAUGAAGCAAUAAGAAAAAGAGAACAAGAAUAUCGAUCAAAACUGGAUGAAACAAGAAGUCUCUUAUUGUCAAAUGACCUUAAGAUCUGAAGUUUAACAAAAGAACUGGAGUUAAUGCGAUGUGAUAGUCGUCGAUGUAAAGAGGAACUCGACAAGAGAGAACUGAGAACUCGGGAGCUGAAGAAGAUGCUUGAAGAAAAAGAUUGGAUGCUUUCUGAUUUGGAAAACACUCAUAAGUAUAAGGUCACAGAUCUCGAAGCACAACUGGAAAAUAUGAGGAGAAUGGGAGACAACUUACAGGAGGAUUUUAAAAGGAAACAUGCCGAAUUGGAUCGCUUUGCUCGGGAAAAAGAAGAAAUGUUGGCCAACGCUAAACAAGUUCGUCAGAAGCAACUAAACAUUGAUCAACUUUACUAUCAGUUGACAACAGAGAAUCGUCGGGCCAGCGAAGAAAUGAAUGUUUUGAAGCAGCAGAACUCUGAUAUCAAGCUGCCGGUAACCCAAGCAAGACAACAGGCUGACCAAUUUUACAAAACGGGUUUGAAGAGAAAUAUUGAUGCCGUAUCAUUAUAAUAAACCAUGCAGUUGUCAGCAUGCAUUAAAAUUGGAUCUUGCCAGUCACGGAAAACCUUUGAAUACGUACAAUCCAGAAAGUCAGUUUAUACAAGACCUUCGAGAGAAAGAAGUCAAGCUGCUCAACGGAUUAAUGGAUUAACAAAAGAACGCGAACAGUUGAUUAAAAUUGGGAAAUAAGCUGACAGCUGAAUUGUUGAAAUAUAAAGUAACACGAAUUAAAGGACAUUGAAUAAGAGACACACUCUGUUGUGACUUUUAAAUACAAGGAAAUAAAAUGGUGUCAUAUACUUACAAUGUCUGGUUCGUCAACAAAAACUAGCUGGUUCGGAUGCAAGCAAUCUAUGACAAUAUAUUCCUCGUGUUGGGAUAAUAUUACACUGCACGUUGGACUACCGAAACGGCAAGGCUUCACAUUAUCCCUGUUUAAAAACGUCUGAAACGUUUUCAUAACGUCUGAAACGUUUUCACUCUCCAUACUUUCCAAAUUUAAUUUGGUGCGAAAAAUUAGAUAGCAUACAUGGCUGCUGCUCCCGGAUUGACUGAUAGUUCUGGUGUUACGAAGAACUUCACUGCUCCCGGAUUGACUGAUAGUUCUGGUGUUACGAAGAACUUCACUUCAAAGUUGGUUAUAAAUUGCACACCUCAGGUAUCAAAGCAGAAAUUGUUGACUUCCCAACAUGCACGAAACUGAUACUAAAGAAAAUUUAAAAACACAUAUCUUUUAACUUGGCUUGGCUUAUACCUCAAAUGUAUUUGUGUCCAUCCUCAAAUACCCUCGUUAGCUUUCUUCGUCUUCGAGCCUCAUUUCUUGGACGAGGGCGUGAUAAGCGCCUCUUUCGUUUCUUCUGGCAAUCCAACUCUUUUGCCACAUAUUACGUUUCCUGUCUUUGCGUGCCUUUCUUCUUUUCGCCACAACGUAACGGCAACCAAGAUAGCAGCAGCAGCAGCAAGUUUCUUAGCUUCCUCGUCAGCCAUUUAAACCCAUUGAUUUAAAUCUCAUUUUGGGAAUUUGUUUAUGGUUGAAACACCAUUACGUUUCUUUACGCAGGCCACCUACCUCCCCCCUAAGCCCGUCAAAAAAAUAUCGGGUUGUCUGAACAGUCCACCAAAAAUCGGGCCGUACGUAGUUUUGGUUUACAUACAACUUUCAAUUAAUACAAAGAAAUUUACCAUACAAAUUAGUGAAAUUACAAUA
rnacentral:lncRNA from 1 species